UCUUCUCCUUCUUUUUCUAUUGCAGAAUUGAAUGUUAGAUUGCAAGCAUAUAGCAUGGCAGUAUCAACGGAGGGGUGGCCAGAGGGACUCAGAUUCAAACCAAUGGAGGACGAACUCAUUGGUCAUUGAUUGACGAAAAAGCUCGAAGGAGAAAUGGAAACCAAAUGCGUAAUUCCCGAGCUAUACAUCUGCAACUGGGAGCCUUAGGAUUUAUUUAUCCUAUGUGAUGACAACUUACAUUUAGCCCUUAGUGUUUUUCUAUUUCUCUAUGCUCUUAUGGUAUGGAAAUUGGUAGUUGCCUAUAACACCUUAGUGAACUAACAUUAAACAAUAGUUGCUUGUAUCAUUAUCAAGUGGACCAUUGGAUUAACGCAAGAGUUUCUUCUUUUGUCCCCGUGGUUGUAAGAGGAAGACCGAGUGCGGAUUUUCGAAAGAGACAAGUAACAGACACGUUACAUGAGCACCAGACACCGCUAAGCCAAUGGGGACCAAGAGGAUUUCGGUUUACUAUGAAGGUCGACAACCAAAGGGCCAUGAGACUGAUGUGGUCAUGCACGAAUAUUACCUAAUUCGAAUGUUUCGGAUGGUGAAAUUUCGGACCCAAUAUUUGACUGCUCUUCUUUUGCUUCCCCUAAUUGAGCAUCUCUAACAUGGUUACAAGUGCAGAUGGCGUUGGUUCUCUGUCAGCAUAAUAAACAGGAAAAGUAAGAAAGCAAAGUCAGCGAAAGCGAGUACGUCAACCGAUUUAAGCGGCCUUAAUAAGCUGAAUGAUUCCCAAAAUGAAGGAACACAAGCAAUUAGUGCACGGUGACCAAAUAGUUACUAUUGAACCGGACAUUCUGAACGACACAUCGAAUUCUAAUUUACCAGACCGGACUGUACCUACUCCUAAUCAGCAGCCUCGACCGUGCAAAGAGCAACUCGUCUUAUGAUGACCCUCAGCAUGUCGACGGACCUAGUGACAGACCUUGCUACAUGCCAUUAACUCUGAGCGACGGUAUCGA